AGAGUUUGAUCAUGGCUCAGAACGAACGCUGGCGGCAGGCCUAACAUAUGCAAGUCGAGCGCUACCUUCGGGUGGAGCGGCGGACGGGUUAGUAACGCGUGGGAAUAUACCCAGUUCUAAGGAAUAGCCACUGGAAACGGUGAGUAAUACCUUAUACGCCCUUCGGGGGAAAGAUUUAUCGGAAUUGGAUUAGCCCGCGUUAGAUUAGAUAGUUGGUGGGGUAAUGGCCUACCAAGUCUACGAUCUAUAGCUGGUUUGAGAGGAUGAUCAGCAACACUGAGACUGAGACACGGCCCAGACUCCUACGGGAGGCAGCAGUGGGGAAUCUUAGACAAUGGGCGAAAGCCUGAUCUAGCCAUGCCGCGUGAGUGAUGAAGGCCCUAGGGUCGUAAAGCUCUUUCAACUGUGAAGAUAAUGACGGUAGCAGUAGAAGAAACCCCGGGCUAACUCCGUGCCAGCAGCCGCGGUAAUACGGAGGGGGUUAGCGUUGUUCGGAAUUACUGGGCGUAAAGCGUACGUAGGCGGAUUAAUAAGUUAGAGGUGAAAUCCCAGGGGCUCAACCCUGGAACUGCCUUUAAAACUGUUAGUCUUGAGAUCGAGAGAGGUGAGUGGAAUUCCAAGUGUAGAGGUGAAAUUCGUAGAUAUUUGGAGGAACACCAGUGGCGAAGGCGGCUCACUGGCUCGAUACUGACGCUGAGGUACGAAAGUGUGGGGAGCAAACAGGAUUAGAUACCCUGGUAGUCCACACCGUAAACGAUGAAUGCCAGACGUCAGCAAGCAUGCUUGUUGGUGUCACACCUAACGGAUUAAGCAUUCCGCCUGGGGAGUACGGUCGCAAGAUUAAAACUCAAAGGAAUUGACGGGGGCCCGCACAAGCGGUGGAGCAUGUGGUUUAAUUCGACGCAACGCGCAGAACCUUACCAACCCUUGACAUACUUGUCGCGGAUUCCAGAGAUGGAUUCCUUCAGUUCGGCUGGACAAUGUACAGGUGCUGCAUGGCUGUCGUCAGCUCGUGUCGUGAGAUGUUCGGUUAAGUCCGGCAACGAGCGCAACCCACGUCCUUAGUUACCAGCAUUUAGUUGGGUACCCUAAGGAGACUGCCGGUGAUAAGCCGGAGGAAGGUGUGGACGACGUCAAGUCAUCAUGGCCCUUACGGGUUGGGCUACACACGUGCUACAAUGGCAUCUACAGUGAGUUAAUCUCCAAAAGAUGUCUCAGUUCGGAUUGGGGUCUGCAACUCGACCCCAUGAAGUUGGAAUCGCUAGUAAUCGCGGAACAGCAUGCCGCGGUGAAUACGUUCCCGGGCCUUGUACACACCGCCCGUCACACCAUGGGAAUUGGGUCUACCCGAAGGUGGUGCGCCAACUAUUUAUAGAGGCAGCCAACCACGGUAGGUUCAGUGACUGGGGUGAAGUCGUAACCAAGGUA
rnacentral:rRNA from 1 species